UACAGAGGUCUCAAGCGUUGUUCGGAUUCAUUGGGCGUAAAGGGUGCGUAGGCGGCGCGGUAAGUCGGGUGUGAAAUCUCGGAGCUUAACUCCGAAACUGCAUUCGAUACUGCCGUGCUUGAGGACUGGAGAGGAGACUGGAAUUUACGGUGUAGCGGUGAAAUGCGUAGAUAUCUGGAGGAACACCGGUGGCGAAGGCGGCAUCCUGGACCGGUAUUGACGCUGAGGAGCGAAAGCCAGGGGAGCAAACGGG
rnacentral:rRNA from 1 species